UCUUUCCUUUCUCGUUCCCCGGCCAUCUUAGCGGCUGCUGUUGGUUGGGGGCCGUCCCGCUCCUAAGGCAGGAAGAUGGUGGCCGCAAAGAAGACGGUGAGUGAGGCGGGCCAGGCCCGGAAGACGAUUCACGUGGAGAGAUGUCUUGGCCAGGGCGGGCAGAUGUGAGCCCACGGGGGUGACAGCAUGCCUGCUGGCAUUUGGAGGGCCCCAGAAGGAAUCCCAGUGGCCCUCUCAAUGACUUGGGGUCCUCGACUUCGGAAGUUUAAGGGGCUCGGCUUCAAAAAGCUGGGUCCGGUUUUGAGGCGGUUGCAGGCGAGGCCCUUAGGUCCGUAUUUAAUGUUUGCUUUGUAGAAAAAGUCGCUGGAGUCGAUCAACUCUAGGCUCCAACUCGUUAUGAAAAGUGGGAAGUACGUCCUGGGGUACAAGCAGACUCUGAAGAUGAUCAGACAAGGCAAAGCGAAAUUGGUCAUUCUCGCUAACAACUGCCCAGCUUUGAGGAAAUCUGAAAUAGAGUACUAUGCUAUGUUGGCUAAAACUGGUGUCCAUCACUACAGUGGCAAUAAUAUUGAACUGGGCACAGCAUGCGGAAAAUACUACAGAGUGUGCACACUGGCUAUCAUUGAUCCAG
rnacentral:lncRNA from 1 species